rnacentral:rRNA from 1 species
AUUGAACGCUGGCGGAAUGCUUUACACAUGCAAGUCGAACGGCAGCACGGGGGCAACCCUGGUGGCGAGUGGCGAACGGGUGAGUAAUAUAUCGGAACGUGCCCAGUCGUGGGGGAUAACGUAGCGAAAGUUACGCUAAUACCGCAUACGAUCUACGGAUGAAAGCGGGGGAUCGCAAGACCUCGCGCGAUUGGAGCGGCCGAUAUCAGAUUAGGUAGUUGGUGGGGUAAAGGCUCACCAAGCCAACGAUCUGUAGCUGGUCUGAGAGGACGACCAGCCACACUGGGACUGAGACACGGCCCAGACUCCUACGGGAGGCAGCAGUGGGGAAUUUCGGACAAUGGGCGCAAGCCUGAUCCAGCCAUUCCGCGUGCAGGACGAAGGCCUUCGGGUUGUAAACUGCGUUUGUACGGAACGAAAAAGCCUUGGCUAAUACCCAGGGUCCAUGACGGUACCGUAAGAAUAAGCACCGGCUAACUACGUGCCAGCAGCCGCCGUAA